ensembl:lncRNA
CUAACAGUGAAGUGUUCCAAUGUUUUUCUUGUGUUUAUAUUUGUAAGUUUCCUUUAAUUGUGGAACUUUGUUUUGUAAUUGGUGGUAGCGGAAGUAACGUGCAGCACGGACUGAGUUUGUGGUGACACUAGAGCAGAGAAGCAUGGCGCUCUGUGAGUUCAGCUGCAUCGUCCUACUGCUUUAAACUGGACUUAAGUUUUAAAGAACACAUAAGUUAAGUUAAGUUAAAUUAAACCCAAUUGUGGACUCACCGUUGAGAGGAGUAGCGGCUCGCGCGAAGAACGGACUUUCUCCCGUUUGGCUACAGCAGGCAAUGAGUUCUCACGAUGAUGAUGAUGAUGACGACGCUGAGUGAUCUUGUCGCCGAACAUUGAAUAAAUCAUCUGUAAACAAGAACUUGUCCGCGUGGUGGCUAACGGGAGCUACAGGUGGUCUGGCGUCACGUCUGCUUUGGUUGUGGUUGUGGGGUUCCCUCGCUCAAAACGAGCAUAAAAGUUGUUGAGCUCGUUGAGGAAGGAGACAUCAGAGGAUGCGGGGGAGGGUUUGGUGGUCCUGUAGUCUGUGAUGGUCUGGAGUCCUUGCCACAUGCGUCGGGGGUUGGAGUUGGAGAAGUGUUCUUCUACCUUCUUUUUGUAAUGGUGUUUGGCUUUUUUGAUGCCCUUCUUUAGAUUAGCCCUGGCUGUACUGUAGGCGUGUGCAUCUCCUGACCUAAAGGCAGUGUUGCGGGCCUUCAGGAGGAGACGAACAUCCCGGUUCAUCCAAGGCUUCUGGUUGGGGUACAUGGUGAUCCGUUUCUGGGUGGUGACACUAUUAAGCCCUUAUUUAUAAAUGUUUACACAAUAAUAGACACCGUGUGCUCUGUGACAUUGUAGUCUUCUACUUCUGCUUCCAUCGGUUUGCAUUUUAAACUCCCAGCCUUUGACGCCAUCACCGAGGCAUACGACAAUCUAGUGGGGGAGGAUGUGGUGAAAAUCCGACAGCUGUGGAUGGUCACAGAGUGUUACCAAUGGCGCGGCUGAUGUUUCUCUGAAAGACUGAUUCUUUCUAAAUAAUAUAAGCCGUUCAUAACAACCUGAGAGACUGGGAGUUUAAAAUGC